UAAUACAGAGGGUGCAAGCGUUAAUCGGAAUUACUGGGCGUAAAGCGUGCGUAGACGGUUAUGUAAGUCGGGUGUGAAAGCCCCGGGCUCAACCUGGGAAUUGCAUUCGAGACUGCAUAGCUAGGGUUCGGAAGAGGGAAGCGGAAUUUCCGGUGUAGCGGUGAAAUGCGUAGAUAUCGGAAGGAACACCAGUGGCGAAAGCGGCUUCCUGGUCCAGAACCGACGUUCAGGCACGAAAGCGUGGGGAGCAAACAGGAUUAGAUACCCUGGUAGUCCACGCCAUAAACGAUGACAACUAGACGUUGAGAGGGUAAGCCUCCCAGUGUCGAAGCUAACGCGAUAAGUUGUCCGCCUGGGGAGUACGGCCGCAAGGUUG
rnacentral:rRNA from 1 species